rnacentral:lncRNA from 1 species
GAAUAAAUUUGGCGGUUAUAUGCAAAGAACAAAAAUAAACAUGCAAUGCAGUUGAUUCAAUUGGUUUUGAGAAACUAUGGAUGAAUGGUGUUGUUGGGAUUUACAAUUUCAUCUUAUCCACUCUCAUAUAUCUACUCUUCUUAUUUACUUCACUUAUUUAUCUAAUUGCCAUGCAAACUUUCUAGUAUACCCUUAACCCAAUCCCUUGGUGAAAAGAGCCUAUUAUUAAUUACCGGCUUGCUAUCCCUAGCCUCCCCAAGUAACCAAUAAUGCAAUGCGUUCGGAAGCAAAUACAAUUGACCGUCCUACCCCUAUCCCUAGGCGAUAUUGGCAUCAUCAAGGAAUUUCCCACCAGUUCAUGACAUUAUCGUACAUCCCCAUAUCGACAAAGACAAACAUCUUUUACUAAAUGAGUUAAACAAUAAAAGCAUUGAGCACAGAUGAGAACCCAACAAUUGAUAAACAAGUAUAUGACAAGCAUAUGAAAUAAAUAAG